rnacentral:lncRNA from 1 species
GCCCCCUCUCCCGGGGGUCUCUGGCCCUCAGGAACCCCAGUCUGAAGCUGUUUCCCAGUUCAGAGGUUGCAGAGAUCGGAGGCGGGGCUCCCGCGCCACCUUGUGGCCAUUCUAGGCAGCGCAACCCAUGAUGCCUGUGGCGGGGCGUGGGGGUGGGGUGGGGUGGGUUGGGGAAGGUGGGUUGGGCAAAUGUGUAUUUUCCUGGUUUGGGCCCUCAAGUCACUGAGCACCUACUCAGCACCUGCAUGAUUCCACUGUAUGUGUGUGUGGACAGAGAUGACCAAGAUUGCGCAGACCCUAGAGGGGUUCCCAGGAGAGGGAGACUACACAACACUAACUCCAGUAGGGUGGAUGGAGUGAGGCCCAGAGGCCUGAAGUCCAGCUGGAGCCUGGAGGAGGGGAGAGUAACGGACUUGGGCAUUCAGGGAACGUUUCCCUGGGCAUUUCGACAGCUGGGGAUGGAAAGGAAGACUGUUACAGGCAGGGGAACAGCACAACCAAGGUGUGGAAGCAGGACCGGGCAACAUUCUGGACCCAACCAAUCAUAAGGUCAUACGUGUCCAUGGCAAACAUUUUUUUUUUUUCUUUUUAGAGACAAGGUCUUGCUCCAUCACCCAGGCUGGAGUGCAGUGACACAGUCAUGGCUCACUGCAGCCUUGACCUCUCGGGCCCAAGAGAUCCUCCUGCCUCAAUCUCCUGAAUGUCUGGGACUGCAGAUGCGCACCACCAUACCUGGCUAAUUUUGGAUUUUUUUGUAUAGACGGGGGGGUCUCGCUAUGUUGACCGGCUUGUCUUGAACUCCUGGCCUCAAGUGAUCCUCCUGCUUUGGCCUCUCAAAGUGCUGGGAUUAUAGGCGUGAGCCACCACGCUAGGCCCCAUGGUGAAUUGAGUUUUUUUUUUUUUUGAGACAGGGUCUUGUUCUGUUGCCCAGGCUGGAGUGCAGUGGCUCAAUCUUGGCUCACUGCAGCCUCUGCUCCCCUUCCUG